rnacentral:rRNA from 1 species
UUGGAGGGCAAGUCUGGUGCCAGCAGCCGCGGUAAUUCCAGCUCCAAUAGCGUAUAUUAAAGUUGUUGCAGUUAAAAAGCUCGUAGUUGAAUUUCGGGAUUGACGUGAUGGUAUGCCUUAAGGGGUAUGAACUGUUACUGUUGAUUUCUCACCUUCUGGAGAAACUUGAUGUCCUUUAUUGGGUGUCUUGCGGAUCCGGGACCUUUACCUUGAAAAAAUUAGAGUGUUUGUUUAAAGCAGGCAUUUAUGCUCGAAUACAUUAGCAUGGGAUAAUAGAAUAGGACGGUAUGGUUCUAUUUUGUUGGUUUCUAGGAUCACCGUAAUGAUUAAUAGGGAUAGUUGGGGGCAUUAGUAUUCAAUUGUCAGAGGUGAAAUUCUUGGAUUUAUUGAAGACUAACUACUGCGAAAGCAUUUGCCAAGGAUGUUUUCAUUAAUCAAGAACGAAAGUUAGGGGAUCGAAGACGAUCAGAUACCGUCGUAGUCUUAACCAUAAACUAUGCCGACUAGGAAUCAGACGAUGUUAAUUUUUUAAUGACUCGUUUGGCACCUUACGGGAAACCAAAGUGUUUGGGUUC